rnacentral:piRNA from 1 species
GAGAGCCUGAUAGACAGUUCUGUCCCUCU